rnacentral:rRNA from 1 species
UACGUAGGGCGCAAGCGUUGUCCGGAAUCAUUGGGCGUAAAGAGCUCGUAGGCGGCCUGUUGCGUCCGCUGUGAAAUCCCGGGGCUUAACCCCGGGCGUGCAGUGGAUACGGGCUGGCUGGAGGCAGGCAGGGGAGAACGGAAUUCCCGGUGUAGCGGUGAAAUGCGCAGAUAUUGGGAAGAACACCGGUGGCGAAAGCGGCGCACUGGACCAUAACUGACGCUGAUGCGCGAAAGCUAGGGGAGCAAACAGG